ACAAACACAACUCUGUUUAAAGAUAGUACUUCCAUAGCAAUAUCUGGCGAGAGAAAAAAUUUCCACGAAGCAAAAGCUUGCAACUCUGAACUUGAAUGCAAAGUCAAGAAGCGAAAUACCAGGAACACGGCAAGAAACUGUGGAUUUACAGCCUGGAAAUUUUUAAUCACCUAGAAAGAUUCGUAUGUUGGAGACUUCCAACAAAGUCCCUUCACGUAUCUACUUAUACGAAGAAGUUCAGAUUUCUUGACUACUUAUAAAAUUACGCUUCAGAUUCAGUGUCAACAGAGCUACCGAGGCAAACGUACGUAAAAAGUAGGAAGUUUGCCUGUGACAAGUGAAAAUUUGCCUUCCACUAAAAUUUUAUUACAGUGGUAAACUAAUGCCGCAAAUAUAUUGUGUUUCUUUGCCACGUUGUUUCAGGAGAUUGAAUCUUGAUCGCUAUAGUCUUCUUUUUGUAGUAUCGGUCUGUGCCGUUAUAAUCAAGAAAAAGAAUGUAUAUGAUCAAUUAAUCAAUUAAUACAUUUAACAAGAUCUUGUCUUUAAUGUCUUUAAUUUUUUGA